rnacentral:lncRNA from 1 species
AGUGUGCCAUCUCUGCCCAUAAUCCAAAUGGCGUGCCUGAGGCAUAGAAAGCAGCUUUCAGGGAGGCCUUCCUUCCUCUGAGCAAUGGUGGCAUCAUCAGAAAAGUGGAGCUCCUCCAAAAGGAUCUGCUGGAAGCAGAGGACGCCCAUGUCUCCUGGUGACUCCCUCUGACCCAACAAGUUGCAGCACCUCUGCUGGGCUUUGCCACUGCCCCAUUUUUGCCAGAGCCUCACCCUGGUGGGGCCCCACCUCUGGGAAGCCCCAGCGCCUGCAAGAUUUUUUCCUCUCGUGACAGGGAGCAGCAUGCGGAGGGCCCUUGCACAACCUGGGUCUUCAGGAAGGACAGUUUCUAACCAGAGUUCUGUUCCUUGCCCAGGUGUUGGCCCAGCUCUCCUCAUGGUUCCAAGAAGGCUGCCCCAGGAAGGCUUGUGGACAGAGGGAGAAGCGUCUCUUCCUCUAUGUCUCUUUUUAUCUAAGAAACCAGUUUGACCAGC